rnacentral:rRNA from 1 species
GCAAGUCGAGCGAGAAAGCAACUUCGGUUGUAAGUACAGCGGCGAACGGGUGAGUAACGCGUGGACAAUCUACCGUCGAGUGGGGAACAACCAGGGGAAACCCAGGCUAAUUCCGCAUAAUUCCGUCAUUCCUUGGAGUGACGGGGAAAGGGGGCCAAUUCUUGAAAGCUCCCGCUCUUCGAGGAGUCCGCGUCUGAUUAGCUUGUUGGUGGGGUAAUGGCCUACCAAGGCAGCGAUCAGUAGCCGGCCUGAGAGGGCGAUC